rnacentral:rRNA from 1 species
GUGAACGCUGGCGGUAGGCCUAACACAUGCAAGUCGAACGGCAGCACAGUAAGAGCUUGCUCUUACGGGUGGCGAGUGGCGGACGGGUGAGGAAUACAUCGGAAUCUACUUUUUCGUGGGGGAUAACGUAGGGAAACUUACGCUAAUACCGCAUACGACCUACGGGUGAAAGCAGGGGAUCUUCGGACCUUGCGCGAUUGAAUGAGCCGAUGUCGGAUUAGCUAGUUGGCGGGGUAAAGGCCCUCCAAGGCGACGAUCCGUAGCUGGUCUGAGAGGAUGAUCAGCCACACUGGAACUGAGACACGGUCCAGACUCCUACGGGAGGCAGCAGUGGGGAAUAUUGGACAAUGGGCGCAAGCCUGAUCCAGCCAUACCGCGUGGGUGAAGAAGGCCUUCGGGUUGUAAAGCCCUUUUGUUGGGAAAGAAAAGCAGCAGGUUAAUACCCCGCUGUUCUGACGGUACCCAAAGAAUAAGCACCGGCUAACUUCGUG